AUGAAAACAAGUUGUAAAAACAUUGGCCGCCACUCAAAGUGGCCGGCUGAUCGGCUUGCCUCCACAAAGCGGGGUACAACGAGUUCACCAGAAGGGAACAUACAGCAGGAAAGACUCAGGCUAGACCCAGAGAAAGAACUUCCCACCAACUGGGAGCUGGACCCAAGGAUGGGGUUGGGCGGGGCCUCCUUGGAAGCAGUGAAUCCACAUCCUGACCUUCCCAGGCCUUUCUUGUUUGAUGCGUCUAUGAAGCCACCCCCACCCAGCCCUGAGCUUCAACCACUGACCCAGAACCUGGUUUAUGAGGAUGCUCGGAGUUUGUGGGGCUUCUGCCUCCUAGGAGGUCAAAAGUCUCCGCAGGCGAGGGCCCCCGAUCCUCCCCACACCCAGCAUGGACGGAGGCCCUGGAGCCUGGCAGAGCUCAGGGCAGGACUGAGGGCUGCCCCCAUGCUACCUCCUCUGCCCCCGCUCUCCACACCCAUCCCCUCAGGGCCCUCCCCGGGCAGUCGCAGUGGAGGACUACAGCAGGUGUUCACAGAUGAGCGUCUGGCUCCUCCGCCCCGUGUCUCCUCUUGGCAGGCUCCUUCCGGGAGGAAAUCAACAGGCCUGAGUCUCACCCAGUUUGUCCCCCUCCGCCCCUUUCCAGCUGGCAUGCCCUUUCUUUCCUUCCUUCUCACCCAAACUCCUGAAAGAGUUGUCUACACUCACGUCUCUACUUCCUCCCUCCCACCCGCUGCUGAACCACGGCCCUCUGUUGCCACCAAGUUCAACCCUGACCUCCACGUGAGUAAGCCCCCUGGACAGUCUUCAGUCCUCCCUGACACUGUGGACCUCGCCCUCACUCUGGAAACAUCCUCCCUCCCUGGCUUCCAGGACACCAACUGCUCCGGUUUCCCUCCUCCCUCUUGGGCCCGCGCCCCAGCUCCGGCUGGCUCUUCUCUCUGCCCAGGCCACAGGCUGCUGCCCUUGAUCCUAAGCCCUUUUUCCUCCCUUGCCCUUCACACUCUCCUUGGUCAACAUCAUCCACCACCCCACCACCCCUGUCUGUCUCUGCCUGGACCAAGCUCAAGGCCCGAGUAUGCAAUGACCCCCUGA
rnacentral:lncRNA from 1 species